CUUAGAGUCGUGAUAGACCAUCACGUUGAUAGGCCGGGUGUAGAAGCAGGGUAACUUGUGGAGCUAACCGGUCCUAAUCACUCUGUUCAUGCUUGCGA
rnacentral:rRNA from 1 species